rnacentral:rRNA from 1 species
GUAGGGAAUAUUGGGCAAUGGAUGCAAGUCUGACCCAGCCAUGCCGCGUGCAGGAAGAAGGUCCUCUGGAUUGUAAACUGCUUUUUUGGGGGAAGAAUAGUUUUCUUGCGAGGAAAUGUGACGGUACCCUAAGAAUAAGCCACGGCUAACUACGUGCCAGCAGCCGCGGUAAUACGCAGGUGGCAAGCGUUGUCCGGAUUUAUUGGGUUUAAAGGGUGCGUAGGUGGUUUGAUAAGUCAGUGGUGAAAGCCGGUUGCUCAACAAUCGAGUUGCCAUUGAUACUGUCGGACUUGAGAGAAGUGGAGGUUCAUGGAAUGGAUGGUGUAGCGGUGAAAUGCAUAGAUAUCAUCCAGAACGUCGAUUGCGAAGGCAGUGGGCUGUACUUUAUCUGACACUGAGGCACGAAAGUGUGGGGAUCAAACAGGAUUAGAAACCCCAGUAGUCC